UGCAAGUCGAGCGGUAGAGAGAAGCUUGCUUCUCUUGAGAGCGGCGGACGGGUGAGUAAUGCCUAGGAAUCUGCCUGGUAGUGGGGGAUAACGUUCGGAAACGGACGCUAAUACCGCAUACGUCCUACGGGAGAAAGCAGGGGACCUUCGGGCCUUGCGCUAUCAGAUGAGCCUAGGUCGGAUUAGCUAGUUGGUGAGGUAAUGGCUCACCAAGGCGACGAUCCGUAACUGGUCUGAGAGGAUGAUCAGUCACACUGGAACUGAGACACGGUCCAGACUCCUACGGGAGGCAGCAGUGGGGAAUAUUGGACAAUGGGCGAAAGCCUGAUCCAGCCAUGCCGCGUGUGUGAAGAAGGUCUUCGGAUUGUAAAGCACUUUAAGUUGGGAGGAAGGGUUGUAGAUUAAUACUCUGCAAUUUUGACGUUACCGACAGAAUAAGCACCGGCUAACUCUGUGCCAGCAGCCGCGGUAAUACAGAGGGUGCAAGCGUUAAUCGGAAUUACUGGGCGUAAAGCGCGCGUAGGUGGUUUGUUAAGUUGGAUGUGAAAUCCCCGGGCUCAACCUGGGAACUGCAUUCAAAACUGACUGACUAGAGUAUGGUAGAGGGUGGUGGAAUUUCCUGUGUAGCGGUGAAAUGCGUAGAUAUAGGAAGGAACACCAGUGGCGAAGGCGACCACCUGGACUAAUACUGACACUGAGGUGCGAAAGCGUGGGGAGCAAACAGGAUUAGAUACCCUGGUAGUCCACGCCGUAAACGAUGUCAACUAGCCGUUGGAAGCCUUGAGCUUUUAGUGGCGCAG
rnacentral:rRNA from 1 species